rnacentral:rRNA from 1 species
AUUGAACGCUGGCGGCAUGCCUUACACAUGCAAGUCGAACGUGAAAGCGGGGCAACCCGCAAGUAGAGUGGCGGACGGGUGAGUAAUACAUCGGAACGUGUCCAGUAAUGGGGGAUAACCUAGCGAAAGUUAGGCUAAUACCGCAUACGAUCUGCGGAUGAAAGCGGGGGAUGCGGCACUAAAGGCUUUUGGCGAAGUUGGCCAAAGGUGAGUCAAGAGCUUUUAGUGCUGCACCUCGCGUUAUUGGAGCGGCUGAUGUCUGAUUAGCUAGGUUGGUGAGGUAAAGGCUUACCAAGGCGACGAUCAGUAGCUGGUCUGAGAGGACGGCCAG